rnacentral:rRNA from 1 species
AGAGUUUGAUCCUGGCUCAGGACGAACGCUGGCGGCGUGCUUAACACAUGCAAGUCGAACGGAAAGGCCCUUCGGGGUACUCGAGUGGCGAACGGGUGAGUAACACGUGGGUGAUCUGCCCUGCACUCUGGGAUAAGCCUGGGAAACUGGGUCUAAUACCGGAUAGGACCACACACUUCAUGGUGAGUGGUGCAAAGCUUUUGCGGUGUGGGAUGAGCCCGCGGCCUAUCAGCUUGUUGGUGGGGUAAUGGCCCACCAAGGCGACGACGGGUAGCCGGCCUGAGAGGGUGACCGGCCACACUGGGACUGAGAUACGGCCCAGACUCCUACGGGAGGCAGCAGUGGGGAAUAUUGCACAAUGGGCGCAAGCCUGAUGCAGCGACGCCGCGUGAGGGAUGACGGCCUUCGGGUUGUAAACCUCUUUCAGUAGGGACGAAGCGAAAGUGACGGUACCUACAGAAGAAGGACCGGCCGACUACGUGCCAGCAGCCGCGGUAAUACGUAGGGUCCGAGCGUUGUCCGGAAUUACUGGGCGUAAAGAGCUCGUAGGUGGUUUGUCGCGUUGUUCGUGAAAACUCACAGCUUAACUGUGGGCGUGCGGGCGAUACGGGCAGACUUGAGUACUGCAGGGGAGACUGGAAUCCCUGGUGUAGCGGUGGAAUGCGCAGAUAUCGGGAGGAACACCGGUGGCGAAGGCGGGUCUCUGGGCAGUAACUGACGCUGAGGAGCGAAAGCGUGGGGAGCGAACAGGAUUAGAUACCCUGGUAGUCC